rnacentral:tRNA from 1 species
UUGGCCGUAGUGUAAGAGUUAGCAUUCAUCCCUGUGAAGGAUGCGGUGCGGGUGCGAAUCCCGUCGGUCAAC